GUUAUCAUUCUAUAGUCAACUUUGCAAAUGGCAUUAUUGUUCUCUAAACCAAUAAGGUUUUAUUUUUUAAAAAUCAAUGGAAAUUGGCAACUGUGGUGGGAGAUUUGAAUGGCAUUUCUGCUGUUUCCAUUGGGAAAAUGGCUGAAUGACUUCUUAUCUCUCUUUGGUGGAUUACCGGACUUGAUAUAUUUAUUAAAGGCCAUUGAAUUGUUGUUUCAGGGAUGGAUUUUGACCCAAUGGAAUAUCCACACUGAAGAAGAAAAGAAGUCCUCGUGGAUGAUGUGAGCAUGCUGGAUUGCUGCGAGGGCUUUAAUCCUAGGAGAUUUAUGUCUGUGACUUCACUGUGAAAACAAAACUAUUUUCCCCGACCUGUCAGAAGGCAACAAUUAGAAGAGGAAUGUGAGGUUUACUUUUGAUGAAGCAUGUGAUUCCUGAUAAAGACUCCCUUACCAAUGAGGUGGUUUGUAGCUAAAAUAUAAAGACCACAGGCUAAAAAAAGAAAAAGAAUAGAGAUCACAUAACAGAAUUCCUCUUACCCUACUUUAGAACACAGAAACAAAGGGUGGGCUUUGGGGAUAAAAUACAUAGCACACUUUGGUAUAUUUUUUCUGCAUUAAGAUGCAAGUCAUUUUGUACUUGGAAGCUGGUUUUGUGUUAAUUCACGUAGGGUAGAUCUAUUUUCCCCUGUUGUUA
rnacentral:lncRNA from 1 species